rnacentral:rRNA from 1 species
UACGAAGGGGGCUAGCGUUGUUCGGAUUUACUGGGCGUAAAGCGCACGUAGGCGGAUCGUUAAGUCGGGGGUGAAAUCCUGGAGCUCAACUCCAGAACUGCCUUCGAUACUGGCGGUCUUGAGUCCGGAAGAGGUGAGUGGAACUCCUAGUGUAGAGGUGGAAUUCGUAGAUAUUAGGAAGAACACCAGUGGCGAAGGCGGCUCACUGGUCCGGUACUGACGCUGAGGUGCGAAAGCGUGGGGAGCAAACAGG